AGAGUUUGAUCAUGGCUCAGGACGAACGCUGGCGGCGCGCCUAACACAUGCAAGUCGAACGGAGUUAUUUUGGCAGAAGCCUUCGGGUGGACGCUGAUAUAACUUAGUGGCGAACGGGUGAGUAACACGUGAGCAACCUGCCCUUCAGAGGGGGACAACAGUUGGAAACGACUGCUAAUACCGCAUAAGACCACGGUGUGGCAUCACACAGAGGUCAAAGGAGAAAUCCGCUGAAGGAUGGGCUCGCGUCCAAUUAGCUAGAUGGUGAGGUAACGGCCCACCAUGGCGACGAUUGGUAGCCGGACUGAGAGGUUGAUCGGCCACAUUGGGACUGAGACACGGCCCAGACUCCUACGGGAGGCAGCAGUGGGGAAUAUUGCACAAUGGAGGAAACUCUGAUGCAGCGACGCCGCGUGAGGGAAGAAGGUCUUCGGAUUGUAAACCUCUGUUGUCAGGGACGAUAAUGACGGUACCUGACGAGGAAGCCACGGCUAACUACGUGCCAGCAGCCGCGGUAAAACGUAGGUGGCAAGCGUUGUCCGGAAUUACUGGGUGUAAAGGGAGCGCAGGCGGGA
rnacentral:rRNA from 1 species